rnacentral:rRNA from 1 species
GAUGAACGCUGGCGGCGUGCUUAACACAUGCAAGUUGAGCGAAGCGCUUACGACAGAACCUUCGGGGGGAGAUGUAAGGGACUGAGCGGCGGACGGGUGAGUAACGCGUGGGUAACCUGCCUCAUACAGGGGGAUAACAGUUGGACACGGCUGCUAAUACCGCAUAAGCGCACAGUAUCGCAUGUUACGGUGUGAAAAACUGCGGUGGUAUGAGAUGGACCCGCGUCAGAUUAGCUACUUGGAGGGGGAACGGCCCACCAAUGCCACGAAGAGUAGCCGGGCGGGUGGGGGGAACGGCCACAUUGGGACUGAGACACAGCCCAGACCCCGACGGGAGGGAGCAGUAGAGAAUAUUACACACGGGGGGAAACCGUAAUGCAGCGACGCCGCGGAAAAGAAGAAGUAGGUCGGUAUGUGAACUUCUAUCAGAAGGGGAGAAAGUGACGGUACCGGACUAAGAAGCCCCGGCUAACUACGUG